UGUAUUUCAAAAUAAAAAGGCAGAGAGAAUGGGAGGAGAGAACUGCAGACAGAAAGCGUACACAACACUUUAGAGGAAUGUUGUUACAAAGAGGACCAAAGAAAGAGGGUAGCAGCUGGAAGAGAAACGAGAUCAAGAUUUUUUUUUUUAUUAAGAGGGGAGAAACAACAGUAGGUUUUACACGGAAAGAGAUCAUCUACUGGAGAGGAAAAACUUACAAGACAAAAGAGAGGAAGCACUAGUUCCUCCAGGACUCUCGCCCCGCCCCGCCCCGCCGUGCAGGCGCUCAGAACCGGGUGUCCGGAUUCAAGCGGGAACGGCCUGAGCGAGUGGCGCGUCCAGCUGUGGCCGCCAGGGAGCGCCAGCCGCCGGCGGAGGCCAGGCACUGGCUGGCGGGAUCCGGGACAUCCGGGACCCGUCUCUGAAGCCCGCGGCCCGAACCGCUGUGGCGGGAUCGCGGCUGAAGUUCCCCAGCGCUGCUGGCCUCGGGUAUCGCCGUUUUACCCACCCUGAAGUCCCGACCACGUCCCCUUUGCCCUUUCCCACGACGGAGAGCUGCUUCUCCUUGGACCCCUGGAGGCAAAAGGGAGUCCCUGCCGCUUCGCUCCUUGGCCUGUCGGAUGCACAGAGCGGGCGCCCUGCCCCCAAGGGACUCGCCCGCUGUCCCCGGGCCCUAGCCCCCUGCCCCCCACCCUGGGGGAGGACAGCUACCUACGGUCGUUGCGUCAGAGGGGUGACCCUGUGAACUUUAGGGCCUCUCGCUAGAGCAGGGCGGAAACACAGCCACCCCCCGGAUAAAUAUAAUCCUCUUUAGGACGCGCCGCCACACUCUCCAUGGAACCGUCAGGGGCCUCGCUUUGGGGCCAGAACAGGGUGGCCAGAUUUAGCACACACACAAAAGGAUGCUCAGGUGGCAACGGGACUCUGAGCAGAGCAUCCUCUACAGAUUUGUCCAACAUGUGUGGCACCCAAGUUCAACAGGGAGCUGGGAAUUGGUCCAGGAAAGAAAAACAAGGGCAGGCAUUCGGAGGACUUGAGGUAAAAAUUUAAUAACGUGCAGUAAAUGUUCAUAGUAAUUUGGGUCUCAUAAAAGCCUGCCUCCUCACACUGUAUCCUCUUACUCGGACAAUAAAACUCUAAUGCAACUCCGUGUUCUGUCACACACAGUUGAAAUCUGAGGAUUCAGAAUAAUGCCUUGCCUAUUUCUUUCUAAGGGAGUAUGGUCACUAAAGAGUUUCAGACUCAGACUUUGGUCACCUUAUCGUCCCAUAAGAUUUUAAUAUUCUAAUUACUAACAGGAAAUCAUGCAAGCAAGGAAGAAAAUCCCAGUUCCUCCAUUAAUUCAUAGAGACAAAAAGAAUCCAAUCAAUCAUUCUGUAAUUUCCGGAGAACCAUCACCUUUCUAGUAGCUGCUAAGUCCAAUAUGAAAACAGGCUAAUAGCACAUGCAAUCUCCCACCAUUUCUGGUCCCCCUGGGGAUAGUCAGGGCUAUCAUGUCGCAUUAGGACAGAUUUUUUGACCCCAAGCCUAAUUUCAGAUUUUUUUUGUGUGUGCAUGCUGAAGUGUGAUCCUUUAUGUCACUAAGUUGGGGAUAUGAAUUUUUAAUCUCCCUAAAAUAUAUAGUGUGUUGGAGGUGCAAAAUUUGGCUUGUGAACAAAUGGGAUGGAGAAUUGACUGCAGGGAGGGCGUCCCCUUGCUGUCACUGCGAGUGCUGUUUGGGACUCCAGAGGGAGCUAUUUGGAAAAUGAAUUGGAUUCUGUCCUUAAAAAUAAAGUUAUUUGGUAAAUUGAGGAAGCCUUGAUCCAGGUGAGUGCCCAGGAGCAGCUGGGGCUUAACACCCUUCUGCACACGUUUAAGGACAUUGGAGGCUUAUGAGUGCUAAUUAGGACCCGUAAGUCAUUUAAAUCAUGAGUCUCUUGAUCCAUUGUGAGCACAUUAAUAAUUUUUCUCAAUACUUUCAAGGUAAAAAGAGAUUAUGGAGAGAAGACUGUUUAAUUUGAUCACUUGUGUAUGUGGGCACCAACACCCUUUUCCUGCCUCACCUCCUUGGCACCGUCCUUGGAUGACACAUAUCCCCGUGCUUUGGGGAGUCAGCCCUGCUCCAGGAGACCCACUCACCCUCUCAGAGCCACUAUGUGCUUUCUUUCUCUCAGUCUCUUCAUUUCCUUUUCUCCUCCAUACACAUUCACAUCUGUUUCCCAUCAUUUAACUGUUCUUUGUCAUGGGGUACAUUUUAUUUUCCAGUUUUCCUGUCUACCAUCUCACGUGUAGGCUUUUCUUUAACAAACACAUUCUCAUUUCCUUAUACUGUGUCCUGGAUUGUUUCCGCUACUCAGUUCGCUAUUGUUAUAAUUUUUCUUUGUCUUCUUUUUUUCUGUUGCUUUGGUUUUUCUCUGUCUGUUGUAGGGGUAGGGAAACCAGAGUGCAGGUGCUGAAGCUGGUCAGCUGGACAUCGCCAGCAGCCCUGGUUCCAUACCCUCCAGCCUCUUCGCUAGUGGCCCCUCUGAUUCUUGUGAGAGCAGUUGUGGUAAAUCCCUUUCCCUCCCCCUCCAGCCUCUGUUUCGGGAAGUUUAGGUGGGUCAUUCGCAACUGGCAACGUGUUCAGUCUCCUUCCCCGAGGUUGAAUGUGCCUGUGGGUGUUGGGCUCUUCUGCAACUCCCCUUUGUAGGGCCUGUGGGAGGACAGCUCAGAAGUCACUAGCAGGGUCGGCGGGAAGAGCAGGCAGGUUGAUGAAGAAACUGGUAACAGAAGUAUAUGGUGUGUGGGGAGUCAUUUUCCUGGAUUACUUUGAGUAAGAGUCUUCUCUACUAUCUUGUGCUCAAAGACAUGUUAUUAAAAGUUUCAAGAUUGCUGCAGUACAGGUGCUCUAAGUUUGGUGAAGUCUAGAUUUUUUUUUCUUUUUGCCUUGAUGACCUUCUAAAGGGGCACUGGAAUGUUGUUCCUGACUACUCUUUGAGAGUCUCCUGCCUUCCCCAGGGAACGUAACGUACCUUUUUUCUCUGGCUGCCUUCAAGAUUUGCUUUUCAUCUUUUAUUUUCUGCAGUUUGAAAACGAUAUACCAAGGUAUGAUGUUUUUGUUUGUUUGCUGCUUGAUGUUUCUGAGCUUUUGGGUUUGUUUGCUGUCUGUCAGGAAGUUUGGAAAAUUCUCAGCCAUUAGUUCUUUCAAUACAUCUUCUGCCUCACUCUCUCCCUCUUCUUCUUCUGGUAUUCCCAUUGCAUAUAUAUCAGGCCACAUGAUAUUGUCUCACUUUAAAUAUAAAAACAUAGAUACAUUAUGAGGAAAUGAUGAAAAGUGAAUGUCAUACAAACAGUGAAGAAAGCUAGAAUAGCUAUAUUAUAUUAGUACCUGAAGAAGUAGACUUCACCCUUAGGAGUGUUCCCAGGGAUAAAUGGUGCUGACACAUAAUGAUAAAGGGUUCAAUCCUCCAAGAAGACACAGCGAUACGAAAUGUGUGCCUAUUAACAGCAGUACUCAAAGAGACGCAGAGAAAAGCUGCUAGAACUGGAAGGAGAAAGAGAAAAAGCCACAGUUACAGAUGGAGACUUCAAUCAUUGAUAGAAAAAGUGGACAGGAAAUCAGUAGGCACAGAAGAUCUGAAUAAUAUCAUUAACCAACUUGGCCUAAUUUACGAUUAUAGAAUAUUCCACUCAGCAGCAAAAAACAGUCUUUUCAACUGCACACAGAAUAUUCUCCAGAACAGACCUUAUAUUGACUCAUAAAGAAAACCUUAACACACUUCUUUUUAGUUGAUCUUUUUGUUUGUUUGUUUUAGUCUCUUUUGUGGGGGAUAAUUAGGUUUAUUUAUUUUUUAAUAGAGGUACUGGGGAUUGAACCCAGGACCUUGUGUAUGCUAAGUAUGGGCUCUACCGAAGAGCUAUACCCUCCCUCUCCUUAACAUAGUUUUUAAAAUGGAAACCUCUUCUUGGCUCUUGGAAUUUUGGCCCCUGUGUGAGAGUGGUGGUGCUGCCUGGAGAAUGUGCAGAGUGCCCCUGCUGGGCCAGUGGGGUGGAGGGCAGGUGGAAAGGUUUAAAAAAAAGGAAAUCUCACAAAGUAUCUUCUUGGAGCAUAAUGGAAUUAAACUAGAAUUCUGUAACAUUAAGAUAUCUGGAAAAUCACCAAAUAUUGGCAGUUAAUACACUUCUAUGUAACCCAUGGGCCUCAAGGUAAACUUGAAAAUCCUUUGAACCAACCAAAUAAAAAUGAAAAUGCAUUAUAUCUAAUUUGUGGAUUGCAGCUAAAGAAGUGCUUAGAGGAAAUUUUAUAGCAUUCAAAUGCUUAUAUUAGAGAAGAAGCAGUGUCUCCAACCAGUAAUCUAAGGUUCUACCCUAAGAAACAAGAAAAAGAAGAGCAAUUAAACCUAGAACAGGCAGAGCAAAGGAAAUAAUAAAGAGCUUAUAUCAAUGAAAUUGAAAAAAAAAAGA